ensembl:lncRNA
AUGAAUCCAUUGAAUUCAUCUUCUAAAUCCACAUUGAAUGUCCAUAGAGCCUUGAUUUGGAGAAAGAGAACAGGGAACAGCAAAAUGGGAUUAUAUAGAGAGGUUCUGAUCCUCUCUUUUCUAGUCCAGUGGGCUACAGUAUUGCCCCAGGGUAUGAAGGAGAUGCCCGUCAACCAUUCAACAAUAGGAUUUCCGAGACUACCUGCAGACUUCAGGGAAAUGGCCAAGAAACUGAUGAGCACAUGCUUCAUGAAAGGUAAAAUUUGUCAUUAUCUGUUAACUUGGACACAUUUGGACUUACAAAAUCAUGCUGUCAAAAUGACUUACAGUAUGUGUUGCACCUGUGUUUAAUGUAAUAAAUUAAGGGAGCUAUAUUGCA